UACGAAGGGGGCUAGCGUUGCUCGGAAUCAUUGGGCGUAAGGGUGCGUAGGCGGGUCUUUAAGUCAGGGGUGAAAUCCUGGAGCUCAACUCCAGAACUGCCUUUGAUACUGAAGAUCUUGAGUUCGGGAGAGGUGAGUGGAACUGCGAGUGUAGAGGUGAAAUUCGUAGAUAUUCGCAAGAACACCAGUGGCGAAGGCGGCUCACUGGCCCGAUACUGACGCUGAGGCACGAAAGCGUGGGAGCAACAGG
rnacentral:rRNA from 1 species